UUAUUACUCCCUCCGUCCAACAAAGGAUGUCUCAACUUUGACAAAAUUUGAAUGCAUCUAUACACUAAGUCAUGUCUAGAUACAUCCAAAUUUUGACAAACUUGAGACAUCCUUUGUUGGAUGGAGGGAGUAGCAU
rnacentral:pre_miRNA from 1 species